UACAGAGGUCUCGAGCGUUAGGCGGAAUCACUGGGGUUAAAGCGUGUGUAGGUGGAUGCCUAAGUGCCUUGUGAAAUCUCACAGCUUAACUGUGAAACUGCAUUGGAUACUAUUCGGCUUGAGAGUUGGAGGGGGGACUGGAAUUCUCGGUGUAGCAGUGAAAUGCGUAGAUAUCGAGAGGAACACCAGUGGCGAAGGCGAGUCCCUGGACAACUUCUGACGCUGAGGCACGAAAGCUAGGGGAGCAAACAGG
rnacentral:rRNA from 1 species